CGGGUGAGUAACACGUAGGUAAUCUACCUUUGGAUUGGGAAUAACAACCGGAAACGGUUGCUAAUACCGAAUAAUGCAGCGGCACCUAAUGGUGACAGUUGUUAAAGCGGGGGAUCGCAAGACCUCGCGUCUAAAGAGGAGCCUGCGGCGGAUUAGCUAGUUGGUAGGGUAAUGGCUUACCAAGGCGAUGAUCCGUAGCCGGCCUGAGAGGGCGGUCGGCCACACUGACACUGACAUACGGGUCAGACUCCUACGGGAGGCAGCAGUCGGGAAUUUUGGGCAAUGGGCGAAAGCCUGACCCAGCAACGCCGCGUGAAGGAUGAAAUCCUUCGGGAUGUAAACUUCGCAAGAACGGGAAGAAUAAGCCGGUGUCAACACCAUCGGCGAUGACGGUACUGUUUGUAAGCUCCGGCUAACUCCGUGCCAGCAGCCGCGGUAAUACGGGGGGAGCAAGCGUUGUUCGGAUUUACUGGGCGUAAAGGGCGGGUAGGCGGCCACCGCAAGUCAGUUGUGAAAUCUCCGGGCUUAACCCGGAAAGGUCAACUGAUACUGCGGGGCUAGAGUGCAGAAGGGGCAACUGGAAUUCUCGGUGUAGCGGUGAAAUGCGUAGAUAUCGAGAGGAAC
rnacentral:rRNA from 1 species